rnacentral:rRNA from 1 species
UAAACUACGAUUAGAUACCCUAUUAUUUUGAAUGUAAAAUUUGUUUUGACUUGAGUAGUAGUAGAUAUGGUCUUGAAACUCAAAGAAUUUGGCGGUGUUUUAGUCCUUUCAGAGGAACCUGUCCCAUAAUCGAUAGUCCACGUAUUACCUUACUUAGUUUUGUUAUUUCAGCUUGUAUACCGCCGUCGUCAGAAUGUCCUUAGAGGGAUUUAAUUUUCUAAAUUUUUAAUUGGAAUCGAUGUCAGGUCAAGGUGCAGCUUAUGGCUAAGGGGAGAUGGGUUACAAUAAAUUUAAUAUUUAUACGGAGAGUGAAAUUAAUUAUUUUGUUUGAAGGUGGAUUUGAUUGUAAUUAGUUUGAUUAAGUUAAUUUGAUUUUGGCUCUAAAACAUGUACACAUCGCCCGUCGCUCUUA